rnacentral:rRNA from 1 species
GACGGUACCUAAACCAGAAAGCCCCGGCUAACUACGUGCCAGCAGCCGCGGUAAUACGUAGGGGGCAAGCGUUGUCCGGAAUUAUUGGGCGUAAAGCGCGCGCAGGCGGUCCUUUAAGUCUGAUGUGAAAGCCCACGGCUCAACCGUGGAGGGUCAUUGGAAACUGGAGGACUUGAGUACAGAAGAGGAGAGUGGAAUUCCACGUGUAGCGGUGAAAUGCGUAGAGAUGUGGAGGAACACCAGUGGCGAAGGCGACUCUCUGGUCUGUAACUGACGCUGAGGCGCGAAAGCGUGGGGAGCGAACAGGAUUAGAUACCCUGGUAGUCCACGCCGUAAACGAUGAGUGCUAGGUGUUAGGGGGUUUCCGCCCCUUAGUGCUGAAGUUAACGCAUUAAGCACUCCGCCUGGGGAGUACGGCCGCAAGGCUGAAACUCAAAAGAAUUGACGGGGGCCCGCACAAGCGGUGGAGCAUGUGGUUUAAUUCGACGCAACGCGAAGAACCUUACCAGGUCUUGACAUCCUCUGCAAUCGGUAGAGAUACCGAGUUCCCUUCGGGGACAGAGUGACAGGUGGUGCAUGGUUGUCGUCAGCUCGUGUCGUGAGAUGUUGGGUUAAGUCCCGCAACGAGCGCAACCCUUGAUCUUAGUUGCCAGCAUUUAGUUGGGCACUCUAAGGUGACUGCCGGUGACAAACCGGAGGAAGGUGGGGAUGACGUCAAAUCAUCAUGCCCCUUAUGACCUGGGCUACACACGUGCUACAAUGGAUGGAACAAAGGGAAGCAAAACCGCGAGGUCAAGCAAAUCCCAUAAAACCAUUCUCAGUUCGGAUUGCAGGCUGCAACUCGCCUGCAUGAAGCCGGAAUCGCUAGUAAUCGCGGAUCAGCAUGCCGCGGUGAAUACGUUCCCGGGCCUUGUACACACCGCCCGUCACACCACGAGAG